CGCUAUCACUCCUACGGGAGGCAGCAGUAGGGAAUCUUCGGCAAUGGGGGCAACCCUGACCGGGCAACGCCGCGUGAGUGAAGAAGGUUUUCGGAUCGUAAAACUCUGUUGUUAGAGAAGAACGUUAAGUAGAGUGGAAAAUUACUUAAGUGACGGUAUCUAACCAGAAAGGGACGGCUAACUACGUGCCAGCAGCCGCGGUAAUACGUAGGUCCCAAGCGUUGUCCGGAUUUAUUGGGCGUAAAGCGAGCGCAGGUGGUUUCUUAAGUCUGAUGUAAAAGGCAGUGGCUCAACCAUUGUGUGCAUUGGAAGCUGGGAGACUUGAGUGCAGGAGAGGAGAGUGGAAUUCCAUGUGUAGCGGUGAAAUGCGUAGAUAUAUGGAGGAACACCGGAGGCGAAAGCGGCUCUCUGGCCUGUAACUGACACUGAGGCUCGAAAGCGUGGGGAGCAAACAGGAUUAGAUACCCUGGUAG
rnacentral:rRNA from 1 species